GAAAAUUCCAUGUUUAUGUUUGGGAUUCAUUCUGACAAAGGAGCAUCAAAACCACUUGAUAUUGAUGAUGCUGUAUAUUCCUUCCGUUGCAAUCUACGCAGCACCAAUUAUUGAAACAAAUCUGUUGAUCACACAUCGGUUUCAAAUGUUGCACUAGAUGAACAGCAUGUGCACUUCAUUGAAAAGGCAACCCCAAAACGGAUGGCUUAUAUUAGGACCUCCAUCCUCAAUGACGAAAUUGAGAGCACUGUAUUUUUAAGAAGUCCACUCCGAGUCACACCAUACGAAAGAGAAAAAAUAUACAGUUUGGAAAAUAUGACAGUUGCGCGAAUCAAAAUUGAAAUAGAAAGAAUGUUGAACCUAAUUUCUGAUGGCAUACAGUAUGAGUACCAUCAACAAUUGUUCACCAGUAAGAUCAAAAAAAGUAACAAAGAAACACAUAUAAAUUUUUUUCGGGAAUUAAAAGAGGCC
rnacentral:lncRNA from 1 species